rnacentral:rRNA from 1 species
CCCGCACAAGCGGUGGAGCAUGUGGCUCAAUUCGAGGCAACGCGAAGAACCUUACCUGGGCUUGACAUGUUCAGGACCGUCCGUGAGAGCGGAUUUCCCUUCGGGGCCUGAUCACAGAUGCUGCAUGGCUGUCGUCAGCUCGUGCCGUGAGGUGUUCGGUUAAGUCCGGCAACGAGCGCAACCCGUGUCGUCAGUUGCCAUCGGGUAAUGCCGGGGACUCUGGCGAGACUGCCCGUGUCAAGCGGGAGGAAGGCGCGGAUGACGUCAAGUCCGUAUGGCUCUUACGCCCAGGGCUGCACACGUGCUACAAUGGCCGGUACAGUGGGACGCGACACCGCGAGGUGAAGCAAAUCCCCAAAACCGGCCCCAGUUCAGAUUGCAGUCUGCAACUCGACUGCAUGAAGUCGGAAUCGCUAGUAAAGGCGUAUCAGCUACGACGCCUUGAAUACGUUCCCGGGCCUU